AUUGAACGCUGGCGGUAGGCCUAACACAUGCAAGUCGAGCGCGCGGCGGACGGGUGAGUAAUGUAUGGGGACUGCCCGAUAGAGGGGGAUAACUCCUGGAAACGGUGGCUAAUACCGCAUACUAUCGGAUAACCCAUAUGGGAUUUGCUAGUAGGUGGGGUAAAGGCUCACCUAGGCGACGAUCUCUAGCUGGUAUGAGAGGAUGAUUAGCCACACUGGGACUGAGACACGGCCCAUACUCAUACGGAGGCAGCAGUGGGGAAUAUUGCAAAAUGGGCGCAAGCCUGAUGCAGCCAUGCGGAGAGUAUGACUAAGGCCUUAGGGUUGUAAAGUACUUUCAGCGGGGCGGCGUUACCCGCAGAAGAAGCACGGGCUGACUCCGUGCGAGCGGCCGCGGUAAUUC
rnacentral:rRNA from 1 species